UGGGGAAUAUUGCACAAUGGGGGAAACCCUGAUGCAGCAACGCCGCGUGAGUGAUGAAGGUUUUCGGAUCGUAAAGCUCUGUCUUUGGGGAAGAUAAUGACGGUAUCUAACCAGAAAGCCACGGCUAACUACGUGCCAGCAGCCGCGGUAAUACGUAGGUGGCAAGCGUUGUCCGGAUUUAUUGGGCGUAAAGCGAGCGCAGGCGGUCUGUCAAGUCGGAUGUGAAAUCCCCGGGCUCAACCUGGGAACUGCAUUCGAAACUGGCAGGCUAGAGUGCAGGAGAGGAGAGUGGAAUUCCUAGUGUAGCGGUGAAAUGCGUAGAGAUUAGGAAGAACACCAGUGGCGAAGGCGACUCUCUGGACUGUAACUGACGCUGAGGCUCGAAAGCGUGGGGAGCAAACAGG
rnacentral:rRNA from 1 species